rnacentral:misc_RNA from 1 species
UCGAGUUAGGGUCCUUCGGGGCCCCAUCUCCAACCCUGUGUCUACCUUACCAUGUUGCUUCGGCGGGCCCGUUGGGCAACCAACCGCCGGGGGUCGCUUGUUCGCCCUCUGGCCCGUGCGCGUCGAUGGCCAAACUUUUCACAACUCUUGAUAAACUGUGUCGUCUAAGUAUCAAACAAAAAAUAAGCAA